UACGAAGGGGGCGAGCGUUAUUCGGAAUCACUGGGCGUAAAGCGUGCGUAGGCUGUUUUGUAAGUUGGGAGUGAAAGCCCAGGGCUCAACCCUGGAAUUGCUCUCAAAACUACAAGACUCGGAUUUGGGAGAGGAUAGCGGAAUUGUCAGUGUAGCAGUGAAAUGCGUAGAUAUUGACAGGAACACCAGUGGCGCAAGCGGCUAUCUGGACCUUUUCUGACGCUGAGGCGCGAAAGCCAGGGGAGCAAACGGG
rnacentral:rRNA from 1 species